UACGAAGGGGGCUAGCGUUGUUCGGAAUCACUGGGCGUAAAGCGCACGUAGGCGGAUGUGUCAGUCAGGGGUGAAAUCUUCCCGCUUAACGGGAAAACUGCCGUUGAUACUAUAUAUCUUGAAUGCUGUGGAGGUAAGCAGAAUAUGUCAUGUAGCGGUGAAGUGCUUAGAGAUGACAUAGAAUACCUAUUGCGAAGGCAGCUUACUACACAGAUAUUGACGCUCAUGCACGAAAGCGUGGGGAUCAAACAGG
rnacentral:rRNA from 1 species